GGGAAACAGACAGUUCCUGAAGUCCUAUUAGGAGGUUUGAGAGCCAUCUCUGCCAUGCACAACCAUCAUCUCAGCCCAUUUGAGGAGGUGAUGCAAUGGCGACCAGACAAUAAAAACAAUUGAGUCAGGACUUAACGCAUGGGGCUAGUGGAGAUGGCUAGGGCUUAUGUUCCUUUCCACAAGGAAAGGCUUCUUCAAACUUGCUGAAGACAGUGUUAAGAGACUUACUUUGUAAAAAUUGGAGGUAUAUUCAGAAAGGGGAGGCUGACAUCUCAUUUCUCCUUGGUCUGCAGUUUGACUUGUCAAUUCACCCCUCUGCUUAUUUAAGCAAGAGUGGGCAUGGGGUGGAGGGGGAUGUCAGGGAAAGGGCCAGUGGUAGUAAAUCAGGCUGCACUCCCACCACUUCAUGGCACAGGGGUGAUUGGGUUUCAUUUGGGUCUAGUGGCCCCAGCGGCCAAUAAACUGACUUAGAUUGUUUUUACACCUAAGAAGACAAUUUGCAGAAAGCCAGGGGAACCAGAGCCGAGGGUCACUGGAAGAAGCAAGUCAGGUACCAUCUCCCAGGUUAGGAAAAUGUGCAGUGGGGCUUCCUGCAUGGUCUCCAGAAGCAAAACACACUGUGCCACAUGGGAGCAAGCAUGCAGAUGCUGGCCAUAAAGAUGGCAUCCAAUGCCAAUCUGGGUCAACCAGAAAAACAGAAAAUGAAACACAGAGAGUUCCUCUUUCCUUCUUAGUCUCCAGCCUACAAGAGGAGAAGAGGGAGGUAUCUUGUGUUUCACCCUUCCACUCCAAGUUGCUGAUGUUUGGAAUAUAGACUUAAGACCAAGCACUGAUUUGUGAAUUGUCUUUCUAGUAAUCUUGAUAACAGCAAGUAACACUGAGGUAUGAGGAAGGGGACUUGCCCCAGUCCACAGACCCGUGUUACAGCAUGAAGUUCCAAGCUCCACAUUUUCCCCUUCCCCCAGAAUAUUCUGAAUUUCCUUCUGUUUGUUUUAUCAGUACAAGGAUGGAACCAUGCAUCUUUAUAGUAUACUUCCAUCAGGAAUGAGUUCUGGAGGGGUCGGUGGCCAUAGGAAAUGAUGGGGGGUGAAAUUGAUGCAGGGGAUGUCGCUGGCAGUGGUCACCAUGAUUUGAAUAAGUAUUUACUAUCUCCUAAGCCUCCAAGAUGAUGUGUCCCCAUUUCUGGAUGUAUUCUCUCUUCUUGAUUAGAUAAUCUCAGGUGUUGUGAUACUGUUUUUUCAACUACCCAGCUCUUGAACAUACCUAUAAAGUCUACUGGUGUACUGUUUUAAAUUUUACCAUUUUUUUUCAGAAACAAGAGUUUAUCAAAAACUCCUGUGGAAGAAAGGAUCAUCCUGCAUUUAGCCUCAGAGACCAAGCCAGGCUGCAGCUCCUCUGGGUGCCUCCCCCAUGCCUGCCCACUGAGGCAGAGACCCUCCUUCCUCAUGCUCCCACAGCCCUUCUUCUCUGAGACCUGGCUCCUGAAAUCCUCUUGCUGAGUUGUCUGUGACCUCAAUUGAGUGAAUAACUCCUCAUGGCCAGGGGCUGUGUUUCCCCAUGGAGCCCCAGCACCUGCCAAAACCUCUGACACACAAGGAGCACUCGGUGAGCUGUGGACAGAUGCAUGAACAGAAAGACAGCCUUUGAAUUCAAUGAUUUUGCCCGUUCCUCGUUAUGAUGAUUGUAUGGAGGAGUGGGGAGUAAAGCACAGUUCAGCUUUAGUUGGACGAGUAUCACUAUCAUCAUUCAUCCUAUAAUACAUUUAUCCCUUUCAAGGGAGUCACUCUGCUCAUUCCCCUCAGUAGGAGAGAAAUAAGCUGAAAGUGGGUGCUCCUAGGAUGCAAGUACAGCAAAGUUCCCCUUGACCAGUCAUGUGGGCAAUGACUGUGGCUGGGACAGUGAUGCAUGAGGACUGAAAGGGGUUCAGAGGUCAUGAGAACAAAAACAACCCAGAAGGUGCUUUGCUUCUGUGAACACAUCCCGGGUUCUUCUAUUUUACAGCCACACAAACCACUAAGACCAAGUGUCAUUGCUCCCACUAAUGAUAGAAUUUUGAUAUAAAUAACACUCAGCUGGCAGUCCAAUUUGAGUUGUUAUGCUGGAAUUUUUAACCUGAAUGUAGGAGUCUUGUACAAAGCUAAGUUUAAAAUUAUUUGAGUGGAAAUGCAAAAAUCAAAGGGAUAAAUUCACGUUGAAAUAUUGACAAGCAGUUUUCCGGUCCACAUCUAAUUUUCUUAGAAAAAGGACGAAGGUUGUUCCAGGCUAUCAUUCUGUCAUCUUACUUGUAGGUGUUCCAGUGUGGGGACACUAUACUGUCUCAUUGUGAAAGAUGACAGCUGGCCAGCUGCCUUCUAAUGUCUACUCCAUCGUAACUGACCAUCCAAGGACGCACAGGUCUGGAGCUGCAAAAGGAGCAGCACUAGGAAAGAAAACCCAGUCUUCUUGAGGUUGACUUCCCUUAUGGGGUAUGAACUGGCCACAUCCUUCAUAUAGAAAAUUGAAUAAUUUAAUAAGGAAUGGUCUAACUCAGAUUCUAGUUCUAUCUGUUUAUUUGCCUGGUAAUUACAGCAUAACAACUCAAAUUGGACUGCCAGCUGAGUGUUUGCCUGGGGCCAGAGAUUUCCUUGUGCACAUACUGGUGUUCCCUUACACCAAGUAGAGACUGAUAAAAAGAAAAAAUAAUAAUUUUGAAAAUCUGAAUUGGUAUACUCUCAAAAAUUAAUAUAGCAUGCCAAAUGGAAGCCUUGAAGCCACCCCUCAAACUGGUUAAGUAGUUUUCUAAAUGACCAUACCCCAUCCACCUUAACUUCUCUUCAAUGUACUCACCAAGCUGCUGCAAAUUGAUCUUUGUAUUUUUCUUUCUAAAUUGUGAAAUAUUUCAAGUAUAGAACAUAAUAAUCACCGACAAACUCAGAUGCUCAGAUUUAAUAAGUCUUAAAAUUUAGAAAAUUAAUGUUAGAUUCCUGAGUUUUCUUAAAAGAAGUAAAGAGUUAAAAAGCCAAUUAAAAUCUAACCCCCUUCCUUCCCAUAGGUAGUUAAUUGUUCUUCUGAGGUUAAGAGACACCAUUUCCAUGCAUGUUUGCAUGAGUUAUAUAUAUAGAUACUCCUUGACUUACGAUUAGUUUCCAUGCUGAAAAACCCAUUUUAAGUUGAAAAUACUACAGAUUGAAAAUGCCCCUACAAACAUGUAUACAUAUGUAACUAACCUGCACAUUGUGCACAUGUACCCUAAAACUUAAAGUAUAAUAAUAAUUAAAAAUAUAUAUAUAUAAACAUAUUGUUGCUUCAAUAUAAGGAAAAAAAAGAAAAAAAAAGAAAAUGCAUUUAAUAUGCCUAAUCUAUCAAACAUCAUAGCUUAGCCUAGCAUACCUUAAAUUGUGCUCAAAACACUUACAUUACCCCACAGUUAGGCAAAAUUCUCUUAACACAAAGCAUAUUUUAUAAUAAGGGUUGAAAAGUUGGGCUAUUGUAAGUCAGGGAUUGUCUGUAUUUGAUUUUAUCUAUGACAUGUACAUGUGACUAUAUAUACAUAUAUAGUGCAUAGAAUACAUACUUCUGAUGUUCAGUUUUUACAUGGCAAUUUUUGAGAUUUAUAUGUAUGCAUUUAUUUAUAUGUAUGUAUGUGUGUACAUGUAGUUUUUUUCUUGUGCAACAAGGUUUGAUGGAUAUGAUGGGUGGAUGUUAUGGAUAUUUUCACUAGGUAUUGUGGUUAAUUUUAAGUGUCAAUUUGGAGGGUGUUUUUGGAUGAGAUUAACAUUUAAAUUGGUCAACUUUGGUAAAGGAGAUUGCCCUUAAUAAUGUAGUUGGGCCUCGUCCAAUCAGUUAAAGGCCUGAAUAAAACCAAAAGACCAGCUUCCUCUAGCAAAAGGAAAUUUUCCAGCAGAUGAACUCCAGACUGGAACUGUGCUGUUGCCUCUCCCGGAUCUCCAGCCUGCCAGCCCACACGUCAGAUUUGGACGUGCCAGCCUCAAUAAUUGCAUGAGCCAAUUCCUUGUAAAAUAUCUGCUUCUCCAUAUACACAUCCUUUUGACUCUCUUUCUCUGGGAAAUCCUGACUAAUACAUCAGGUACAGACAAGCUUCUCCCCAGAGUGGUUGGCCUAAUUCACACUCACCUAGGCAAGGUAUAGAUUUCCUGUCUCUCACAUCCGUUUGGGGUGUGCAAGUCAAGUUGAUUUUUGUCAAUCUGAUGGGUAUGAAACAGAACUAUCAUUUUAAAUAGCAGUCCCUUGAUUCAUAAUAAGCAUCUUUCCUCCUUUUUGGUCAUUCAGUACCUUUUUCUGUAACUAAUUUGUUCACAAUUAUUUUUGGUCCCCAAAUACACUAUUUGCCUUUUUGUAUACAUCUAAGCAGGAGUGAUUGAACAGGCUAGAUAAUCUUUUUCUUUAAAGUUAAAUGUGUAAAUGGUGUUUUCUCUUGGUCUGUGGAAUGUCCCUUCACCUGCAUGUCCAGUGUUAUUUGUAAUAUCUAGUUUUAAUUAUAAUAUGGUCAAAUGUAUCAAUCUUUUUCAUGAUAGUGAUUUUUGUGUCUUGUUGAAAUAAUUUUCCCAUUAAGAUAUACCAUAUUGACAUUUUGGGCUGGAUGAAAAAUAAAAGAUACACCAUGAUUUUAAAUACUUUUCUUUUUCUAUGUGACUACACCUGAUAAUUUAUGAAAUCUGCAAAUAAUAGAAUCAAAGUAGUAAAGAAAAUGAAUAAACUACAGCUACACUUAUCAACAGAAAUGACAUGAUAGACUUUGAAUUUACAGACUUUGGAUUUCACCAGAUUUUAAAACUUAUGUCCCUUUUCUGUUCCAGAAUCUGAUGCAGGAUCCCACAUUGCAUCUGGUUGUCAUAUCUGCUUCUGCGUUUUACGGGUUCUCAGUAUUUCUUUGCCUUUCAUGAAGUUGACACCCUUGAAGAGCGUUGGUUAGUUUUAUUUUUGGAGAAUUUCCCUCAAUUUGGGUUUCUUUGUUCAGAAUUGCUAAUCUAUAGCUUGUGAGAAACCAAAGUACUAAUCAGAGUAAAGUAUUUAAUUUUCUCUUCCUAGAUUCUUAAGGUGGAAGCUUAGAUUACAGAUUUGAGCCCUUUCUUCUUUUCUAAAAUGAGCAUUUUUUUAGAAAUAUCCCUCCAAGCACCUCUUUAGUUGGCUGCCACAAAUUUUGAUGUGUGGUAUCUCCAUAAUUUUCAUUCAGUUCAAAACAUUUUUAAAUUGCC
rnacentral:lncRNA from 1 species